AGAGUUUGAUCAUGGCUCAGGAUGAACGCUAGCGACAGGCUUAACACAUGCAAGUCGAGGGGCAGCAUGGUUUGUAGCAAUACAGAUUGAUGGCGACCGGCGCACGGGUGAGUAACGCGUAUGCAACUUACCUAUCAGAGGGGGAUAGCCCGGCGAAAGUCGGAUUAAUACCCCAUAAAACAGGGGUCCCGCAUGGGAAUAUUUGUUAAAGAUUCAUCGCUGAUAGAUAGGCAUGCGUUCCAUUAGGCAGUUGGCGGGUAACGCCACAAACCGCGAUGGAUAGGGGUUCUGAGAGGAAGGUCCCCCANAUUGGUACUGAGACACGGACCAAACUCCUACGGGAGGCA
rnacentral:rRNA from 1 species